rnacentral:rRNA from 1 species
GAUGAACGCUGGCGGCGUGCCUAAUACAUGCAAGUCGAGCGAACGGACGAGAAGCUUGCUUCUCUGAUGUUAGCGGCGGACGGGUGAGUAACACGUGGAUCACCUACCUAUAAGACUGGGAUAACUUCGGGAAACCGUAGCUAAUACCGGAUAAUAUUUUGAACCGCAUGGUUCAAAAGUGAAAGACGGUCUUGCUGUCACUUAUAGAUGGAUCCGAGCUGCAGUAGCUAGUUGGUAAGGUAACGGCUUACCAAGGCAACGAUGCAUAGCCGACCUGAGAGGGGGAUCGGCCACACUGGAACUGAGACACGGUCCAGACUCCUACGAGAGGCAGCAGUAGGGAAUCUUCCGCAAUGGGCGAAAGCCUGGCGGAGCAACGCCGCGUGAGUGAUGAAGGUCUUCGGAUCGUAAAACUCUGUUAUUAGGGAAGAACAUAUGUGUAAGUAACUGUGCACAUCUUGACGGUACCUAAUCAGAAAGCCACGGCUAACUACGUG